ensembl:snoRNA
AUCAUUCUGUAGUUCAUAAGCAUGAUGAUUGGGUAUUCACAUGGAUGUGUGAAAUGUGCCAUCCACAAACAUUGUUAUGAUGUUAGCACAUUACCCGUCUGACA